CACAGGAGCUUCAGUAUUGCAUAAGCAAUCUCCUCCACCUACAAAAGCAGCCCCUGUUUGCAAGAGAGCAGAUGUUGGGAAGUAUCAAGCCUGAGAACGCUCCAGCCAUGGCCUUUCAUCUCUGCCAUCUUGGUCCCUGGCUCACCCCUUCACUGAUCUGAAGCAGUUAUGUGGCCAGUGGCUAAAGUGACACCUUGAAAUGCAGAGAAAGAAGUAAAUGUAUUAUUUAGCUGUAGGAACAACUAUUUUUAAGGAGAAUAACUUGUAAAACCUGAAUAAAGAAAAGAUUUCAAAGUA